rnacentral:lncRNA from 1 species
GAGGCAGUCCAGCCGCAGGGGCCACCCGAACAGUCUCUCCUCCUCACAGAAGCCUGGAGCUGGGCAUCCAAGAAGAAGCAGCCUCAUUUGUUUUCUGGUGUCAUCGUAGGUGGCCACCUAUGGCUUUUGGGCUUCUCACCUGGGGCGGGUGGGUUCUGCACCACCCUCCCACCCUCCUUCCUCCGUGUGGACGAUAGAGCCACAUCCAGCACCACGGACAGCUCCCGGGCGAUCCCAUGGGAGUAGAAGAGGUGUGAGCAGGUUGCCCAGCUGGUUAGCGGAAAUGCCAAGAUCCAGGCUCCUGAAUUUCAGCCUGGCCCUUUCUAUCUGUCUGAUACCUCCUUUACGAGUCUCUCUGCCUGCGUUGUGUGGAGCGGGCCUGCUGCUGGUUGGGGGAGUUUGCAGGUUGCCCCUAUGCAAAAAAGGACAGGAUGCAUGACUGGCAUCCUUCAUCUCCUCGUCCUCCAGGCAGCACAAGCCAUUGUGGAAUCUCCACCAGGUGUACAGAACGGUGCCUCUGCGUCCUGCCACUCAGGACCUCUCAAGUCCCCGAUGUGAUGGCUCCUCAGCAUGAUCAGGAGUGAGCGUAAUUCAGACCUAUUUAGAUCCGUCAGCCCACGGACCAGGGGGACCUUGAGCAGGACAGUCUUUUGUCUCCAAGCAGUCAUUCCCUGUUAUACAAGCAAGAGUCAGGAGGAGGAAUGGUUUUGGCAUCAUCCCCCACAGACAGCAAUGGGGCCUUUAGGCCUGGAAGGAAGGACCAGGCUGCGGCUGGCAUAUGGAGGUUGAGCCCUGGGCACGGGGCAUCAGCUUCACCCGGCUGGGGAUGCCUUCUGCUGGGUUUGUCCAUCUGGCACCAGCUGGCUUCCCAGCACCGCCCCCACAACCAACCAGACUCCUCCUUCUGCUGUUGCCAUGGCAAUUGGCUGCCAUAUUGUACCUCAGAGCACUAGCUCCUAUCUGGAUUUUCCCGCGGGGUUCCUAGAGGGUGGGAGAUGGGUCUCCAGGGAUUUAUCCCUUUCCCCUGAUAUCUAUCCAAUAAAAAUUCAUAAUAACAUAUGAUUUUUUAAUA